CCCUUAGAUGUUCUGGGCCGCACGCGCGCUACACUGAUGCAUUCAACGAGUCCAACCUUGACCGAGAGGUCCGGGUAAUCUUUGAAACUGCAUCGUGAUGGGGCUAGAUUAUUGCAAUUAUUAAUCUUCAACGAGGAAUGCCUAGUAAGCGUGAUUCAUCAAAUCGCGUUGAUUACGUCCCUGCCCGUUGUACACACCGCCCGUCGCUCCUACCGAUUGAGUGUGUUGGUGAGGAGUUUGGAUUGGCCUCGGAAGGUGGUUCGCCACCGUCCGUAGCUGAGAAGUUCUCCAAACCGCCCCACUUAGAGGAAGGAGAAGUCGUAACA
rnacentral:rRNA from 1 species